rnacentral:rRNA from 1 species
CAAAAAUUUGUUUCGGGAAUCACUGGGCUUAAGGUGCGUAGGCCGCUUUGUAAGUCGGGUGUGAAAUCACGGCUCAACCGAGGAACUGCAUUCGAUACUGCUUAGUUUGAGGGAGAUAGGGGCGCGUGGAACUUCGGGUGGAGCGGUGAAAUGCGUUGAGAUCCGAAGGAACCUCCGUGGCGAAAGCGACGCGCUGGGUCUCUUCUGACGCUGAGGCACUAAAGCUAGGGGAGCGAACGGGAUUAAAACCCCGGGUAGUCCUAGCUGUAAACGAUGAGCACUGGUUGGAGGGGGUCCCUAUUUUUUUUGGGGGGGU